GACUCCAUGGUAGAACGGUCAGCGCAUCUGUCUGCAAACCGGAAGACGUAGGUUCAAAUUUUAUUGGUGUCU
rnacentral:tRNA from 1 species